rnacentral:tRNA from 1 species
GCUGGGGCUCAGUGGUAGAGCGUUCGCCUAGCAUGUGUGAGGUGCUGGGUUCCAUCCUUAGCACUGCA